GAUGAACGCUGACAGAAUGCUUAACACAUGCAAGUCAACUUGAAUUUGGGUUUUUAACUUAGGUUUGGGUGGCGGACGGGUGAGUAACGCGUAAAGAACUUGCCUCACAGCUAGGGACAACAUUUGGAAACGAAUGCUAAUACCUAAUAUUAUGAUAAUAGGGCAUCCUAUAAUUAUGAAAGCUAUAAGCGCUGUGAGAGAGCUUUGCGUCCCAUUAGCUAGUUGGAGAGGUAACGGCUCACCAAGGCGAUGAUAGGUAGCCGGCCUGAGAGGGUGAUCGGCCACAAGGGGACUGAGACACGGCCCUUACUCCUACGGGAGGCAGCAGUGGGGAAUAUUGGACAAUGGACCGAGAGUCUGAUCCAGCAAUUCUGUGUGCACGAUGAAGUUUUUCGGAAUGUAAAGUGCUUUCAGUUGGGAAGAAACAAAUGACGGUACCAACAGAAGAAGUGACGGCUAAAUACGUG
rnacentral:rRNA from 1 species